rnacentral:rRNA from 1 species
AGUGAACGCUGGCGGCGUGCCUAAUACAUGCAAGUCGAACGGAGUGGCGCACGGGUGAGUAAUGUAUAGCUAAUCUGCCCUACACUAGAGGACAACAGUUGGAAACGACUGCUAAUACUCUAUAGUGUAGGUUGAGGCUAUAUUGUAUCAGCUAGUUGGUGAGGUAAUGGCUCACCAAGGCUAUGACGCGUAACUGGUCUGAGAGGAUGAUCAGUCACACUGUAACUGAGGCACGGUCAAGACUCCUACGGGAGGGAGCAGUAGGGAAUAUUGCACAAUGGGGGGAACCCAGAAGCAGCAACGCAGCGUGGAGGAUGACACGUUGCGGAGCGAAAACGCGUUAUGUUAGGGAAGCGGUACCUAACGAAUAAGCACCGGCUAACUCCGUGCCAGCAGCCGCGGUAAUAC